rnacentral:rRNA from 1 species
CAGUAUAGGGCUACAAGCAAGUAAUGGAUGCCUAGGAUGCUAGUGCCGAAGAAGGACGUAUUAGACCGCGAAAGUCGUCGGGGAGCUGUCAAAAAGCUUUGAUCCGGCGGUGUCCGAAUGAGAUAACUCCUCUUAUAUAGAGAUCCCGACGUAGCCGCAAGGCGAAGUGGGAGGGGCACGCCUCGAACUGAAACAUCUAAGUAGGGGCAGGAAAAUAAAUCACAUGAGAUUCCGUAAGUAGCGGCGAGCGAAAGCGGAACAGCCUAAACCAAUGUCGCAAGACAUCGGGGUUGCGGGACUGAUGACAUGGGAUGAAUAUGGGUAAUUGAACUGUCUGGAAAGGCAGACCACAGAGCGUGAGAGUCGCGUAAGUGAAACUUAUAUUCACUCUAAUCAGAUUCCCAAGUACCAUGAGACACGUAUCUUGUGGGAAUCCGGGGUGGCCACACUCCAAGGCUAAAUACACGAGCAUACCGAUAGUGAACUAGUACCGUGAGGGAAAGGUGAAAAGAAGGGUUAAACACCCUGUGAAAUAGUACCUGAAAUUAUUUGCUAACAAACAGACAGAGGGGUGCACCGUCUGGUGCGUCCUGAUGUCGUGCCUAUUGAAGAAUUAUCCGGCGAGUUUUCGUUUUGUGCGAGUUUAACCCCGAUUAAAUCGGGGGAAGGCGUAGGGAAACCGAGUCUGAAUAGGGCGUUUAGCACAAGAUGGAAGACCCGAAACCUGGUGAGCUAACCAUGAGCAGG